UAAAAGGGUUACUCAUAUAAUAGUGGUAAUAUGGUCCACAAGUUUCUACCAGAUACCGUAACAUAUCUGACUAUGAGAAAAAUUCA
rnacentral:ncRNA from 1 species